GCGCCGUUAGCUCAGCUGGAUAGAGCGUCGGUCUACGGAACCGAAGGUCAGGAGUUCGAAUCUCUUACGGCGCGCCA
rnacentral:tRNA from 1 species